AUGUAAUCAGUAUUAUGCAUAAACCCUGAAAUUGUUAGGGAUUAUGUAUAGAAUCACUGAAUGAUAACUUUAUUGGUUUAUAUAUGAUUACUACUAUUUUCAGGAAUUACGCACAAUCACUAGAAAAAUAAAGUAAGGGGAUACAUGUAUACUUACUAUACAAUACAUGUAACUGGAAUGAAGGGACAAAGACUAAAGGUAAAAUAAUGUAUUCUAUAAAAAUAAUAUAACAUCUUUAGAAACAAUAAGUUUAAGAAGUCCAAGCUCAAUAUUCUAAUACAGUAACAAAUCAUUUAUUUUUAUAAACCGCUUUGAAUGAAUUCUGUAUUGAUUGAUUGAAUGGUUGGUGAUUGCUUAACGCGGCGAAAUUCUCUGUUUUAAAUUACUUGCUCUGCAGUUUGUCUUAGUCUGGCCUUGGCAGAGUAAAAAUAAACGAGAUUUAAUAGUAUUUUAAUUCCGACGGCAUCGUUGUCAUCGGCGUCAACAAUGUAUUAGUUUUCGAUUAGGUCGGUUUAUCUGGUAAGUCAAUGAUAUUUGGUAUGCAGUUGUAUUAGCCUUGACACAUCUCAUUGCCAUGGUCUAUUGGCUUUGAAACUUUUUCUUACUUCACACGUCUUUGUUUUUGAUAAGGUCAGUUUAAGAAGAACCAGUUAUCAGAAAUGAUCCUUUCUCAAUCGGCAUCCUCGGGUAUAUCCGCUACUCUAAAGGUACGGAAUCGACCGAGUUGUGACGAAUGACUAAGACCUCAAUCGGCAAACCUCGAGUGAAUCCGCUACUCUCCUUCUAUCCUUAGAUGAAGGUACGGAAUCGACCGAGUUGUGACGAAUGAAUCCUUUUUUCGGUCCUUUUAUGAACGAACUGGUUUUUUUUCUUCAUCUGCUUAGCUUAACCACAUGUUAUUUUUCUCAUCAAAUUUGAGAUCAGAUAUUUUUUAGGGGGGGAACCUGACACCACCCUCCUCUCUCCCUUUCGAAGUCAAAUGGUCGUUCCCUUACAACAGAUUACAUGAUCUUUGGAUUGAUGUUGGUAUUAUCAAUUUCAUUUUUAAAUUUUUUAAGGUUCAAGUUUUCUUCUGUUUUGUACAGGUAUUUCCCUCUGUUAUAUAUCAGAGCACUGGUCUCCCACAACAGAUAUGUACAUACUUGUGGUUGGAAGUUUAAACAAAAAAAGUUUUAAAGUUUUAUAUGCAGAUGAUAAGUGUGGAUUUUAAAACAAAUAUAUAAUACUAUGUGCUCAAGUGAUUCAACCCAAUUACAUAGAAUAUAUAACUUGAAAACAAUUUUCAAUUAAAUUUUAUAAAUAGACAAGGAAGGUAACUGUUCACUUAAAACAUAACAGGGUCAAUCGUAACUACUCGGUAAUUCUCGCUAUGCCGAGUACAAUUUCUUCGUGCAACCAGAAGGGCCGAGUAGUUCCGAUUGAUACAUGAGUAACAUGGUAAUACUGUAGCCUGGGGUCCUGGCUACUGAUUUGCUCCGCUAUCGACGCAGUAUGAUUGGGCCAGGUUUCCAUCGUAAAGGUAAAACUGAUGAAUUAUUUGUACAUAUCUUUGAUGUGUUUUCAAUCAACCGAUGGAUCUUUCUAUAUAUCAAUUACAACACAGUUUUGCAGGUCUCGAUAUUGACGACUUCAAGUCAAACCUCCGAUUGCACUUGUGCUAGUUCCCAAUUCAAAUAUAAUCCCGCUGGCCACGUUAUUACCGGUGACCUCAACAUUGUUAAUAACACUUCUCUACGAAAUGUGUUAUCGAAAGGUCCAAAAUAUCGUGAGCCUAAAUCCAUCAAUUGGAAAUUCAACUUUAAAAUUUUGAUGGAUUCAGUUGAGGAUUAUGCCAGGCAAUGGGCUAAGCGCGAGAAGGAAGACGUAGACACUCUUUCCGAAUGGAUUAAGGCAGUGAGGUCUUUGAUACAAAUCAGAAUUAAGAAACUGAAUGGGUCUAUCAAUACCCAUGCUACGUCAAUCUUUUAAAGACCCAAAUGUUGCAAAACACCUAUCCUAUCCUCCAUGACAAAUAUGUUGUUAUCCCGCAGAUAAAGCCCAAACAACAUCGUUUUUGUAUGUAAAACUCAUUACAUUAACUGCUUGAUAAACGAAUUAGGUAUUGACAAUUCACUUGGAAACUCAACAUAUAUACUCACGACAAGUGUCCUUACAAACAACGGUAUAUUGCUGGGUCUUCCAAGUGCUCCACGAAACCUCUUUCUAAAUUAUUAACAUCUAUUUUAUCAGCAAUCAAAGACGGGCUUCAAAUUAUUGUAAAACUGCCUAUUCUAGAGGGCGUGAAUCAGAUGUGGAUACUUAAAAAUUCCAAGAUCUUUUAGAGUACAUACAAUCUAAAACUCUCUUUCAUCUUGUAACAGUAUUAAAACAUUUGACUUUUCUACUCUGUACACUAGUAUUCCACAUUCCAAACUAAAAGACAAAUUGAAAGAGUUGGUAUGCUUUGCUUCGUAAAAAAGAAUACCAACGUAGAUACAAGUAUCUUGUCUUAGGGAGAGAUAAAUCCUACUUGUAAAGAUCAUCUCUGAUUUGAACAAAAAAUUCUCUGAAACUGAUAUUAUCAAGAUGCUUGAUUUCUUGAUUGACAACAUUUUUGUAAGUUCGGAGGACGUGUUUUCAACAGACUGUCGGCAUUCCAAUGGGAACAAACUGUGCCCCUCUACUUGCCGACUUGUUUUCUUUAUUAUUAUGAGGUGACUUUCAUGCAGGAACUUCUUAGGAAGAAAGAUAAGAAGUUAGCAAUAUCCUUUAACUCUACGUUUGGCUAUAUAGAUGAUGUUCUUUCACUAAAUAAUUCAAAAUUUGGUGACUAUGUGGAACGCAUCUAUCCAAUCGAGCUAGAGAUAAAGGAUACUACAGAUACAGUUAAGUCGGCCUCAUAUCUUGACUUACAUCUAGAAAUUGACAAUGAGGGGUCGGUUGAAAACAAAACUUUACGACAAGGAGAUGAUUUCAGCUUUCCAAUUGUGACUUUCCAUUUCUAAGUAGCAACAUUCCAGCAGCACUGCAUACCGGGGUAUAUAUCUCCCAAUUGAUACGAUAUUCAUUCCGUGCUUGCAUUUUCCUAUCAUGAUUUUCUUCUUGAUAGAGGGGUUGCUGCUCACAAGGAAACUAUUAAACCAAGAGUUCCAAAUGGUGAAGUUGAAAUCAUCCCUUCGUAAAUUUUACGGACGCCAUCACGAGUUGGUUGACCGUUAUGGAAUAACCGUAUUCACAAAUGAUAUCGGAUAUGUUCCUUACGUCGUAACUACAAUCCCCUUUCCCUUUUCCUGAAUGUGACCUACCGAAUUAGACUAUUUACGGAUUUGUUAUCACAUAAGCAACACGACGGGUGCCGCAUGUGGAGCAGGAUCUGCUUACCCUUUCCGGAGCACCCCUGAGAUCACCCCUAGUUUUUGGUGGGGUUCGUGGUUGUUUAUUCUUUAGUUUUCUAUUUGUGUCAUGUUACUACUAUUGUUUUUCGUGUUUGUCUUUUUCAUUUUUUAGCCAUGACGUUGUCAGUUUGUUUUAAAUUUAUGAGUUUGACUGUCCCGUUGGUAUCUUUCGUCCCUCUUUUAUUGAUAAUGCUUGAAAUCAUUUCAGGAAAAUUUAAAAUAUUUCUUAAAAUUUGUAAAUCACUGGUCAUUUUCAGGGAUUAUAUUAUUUAAUCACUAAUGAUUUCCUACAAAUUCACUCUAACAUAUAUACACCUGAAAACAGAUCCGAUCUAAAAGGGAAAAUUGGCGGGAGCUGUCGAAAUUGUCAGCAAUCGAAAUCCUGCAGUUGGGGUUACAGAAGUGGGGAGACCCGGGGCAAUUUUGGGGGUUUAUUACCGAAUCUAGCACGGUGACAUAUAGUAUUAGCAUGUUUGAAGGGAAUUCCAACCGUGAUAUGUCCCCAUUCAUAUGCAUUAUUUUCAAGUCAUAAAUAAUACAAACACAGUUACACCCGUACCUGUCAUCCUUUAUUUGGGAUCCGCCCCUGUGCAGUUGUUUGAAUAUAACCCUUAUCCUUGUUCUAACAAACUUAGAUUUCAAUUGUAAAUGAUCAAAUUUAGAGCUACCCAUUUGAUUUUUAUGGGGGGGCUAGGAUGAAAAAUGUUGUCCUGCAUUUUUUGUUGUUGUAAUCUCUGUCCGCCUUUUUAUUUUUCACUCUAUUCGGUCCUGCCUUUUUUUUUAUUAGUUUAUCUGACUUUUUUACCUAAAUUGUCAUCCUGCCUUUUUUUUUUUUUGCAAAGUGUCUCAUCCUGCCUUUUUUACCACCCCCCCCCCCCCUUAAAAAUCAAAUGGUAGCUCCCUUAGCAUGUUUAAAUUAUAUGCUGAUUACGUUUAUUCAAUACGCGACGUACAUGCAUGCUUUAAAGGAUAAAUUAAUCCAUAUGACAGAUCGUUGUUUGCUUAACGAACAGUGAUAAAAUAUGUCGUAAAGAUUCAGAUACACAUUUCAAAUUUCUUUACAGGUAAAUUUAUAAAAACAAAAAAUGUCAAUACAUUUAUAUUUACAGACUUUAUCAACUAUUAGUCUGAUAGAUUACAGGGGUCAACCUUGAAAUCAACCAAAUCAGUCAGACUAGAGACCGGAAAAUUUACCUUCUUUUAAAUAUGGAAGGAAAAGUACAAGUUUGAACGUGGAUAGAAAGAACUGGAUACUUUUGGCUUUAUAUGUUAUAGGUGAGUUCGAAUUUUUUUUUAAAAACUUAUAAUCAAUGAAUAAAUUCAAAAGUUUUCUCGUUUGAAUUGUUUACAUUGUCAUUUCGGGGCCUUUUAUAGCUGAUUAUGCGGUUAUGGACUUUGUUUAUUGUUGAAGGCCGAACGGUGACCUAAAGUUGUUAAUUUCUAUGUCAUUUGGUCUUGUGGAGAGUUGUCUCAUUGACAAUCAUACCACACCUUCCUUGUUUAUACACGAUAGAUAAUAGAAAUUAUCUUAAUCUUUGGACAGUACAUCUGACCGCACUUACCACUUACUGGACCAAAAUAGUACAAACAUCUUAGAUUAUUUUGUUACGUAAGCGCGGGUUUGGUUGGGGUUUACACUAAAAAGAAUAAUGGGAAAAUACCAGAUUAAAAGACUAACAAAAUCUUAAAAAGAUGAGAAGAGUGGGGUGCUAAGAUAUAAGAAAAGAGGAAAAUUGACGAUAAAGAUAGAAUACAGACUAAAGAAAAUUGGUCUUAAAAAUAAAAUUAAGAAAUUAAGGACCCCACUCCAGACCCAAGUAGUCAAUCUUUAUUUUUUAAGAUAAAAAUGCUGAUAGUAACUAAAUCACUUUAUAUGUUGUACCUUAAGAGUAAAAAAUACAACUUUGGUAAAACAUAAAGAAAACAGGGAGCCUGUGUCUAGUAUGCGUUUAUUACCUGCGUUGUCUUGCAGCAGCAAGAACUGUUUAUUGGUGCCUUCUUCCAAUUGUAUGUAGUUAAAGUUGUACAUACUCUACAGGGAGGUAACUCUGAAGACAUCAGCUGAACGUUUUCAUCACAUUAUACUGUGAAUGGAAACAAUUGAUAAAUGCUUUAGUCAAUGAUUAACAGCUAUAUAUCCAAUGAUUUUUUUCCGAGAAAGUGUUUUAGAAAUUUUUAUAUUUGUGUUGAAGAAUCGAAUGGUAAAUAAAAGAUAUUUUGUCAAUUUUUGUUUUUAGUUUAACGAGCUAAAUUAAUUUUUGAAGGAGUUUUGUGCCACAUUUAUUUACAUCUUUCCUUUAUUGAUCUUUAUUUGCGAGCGAUACUAUGAUUGAGAUAUUUUUUAAAAUGUAAACAUUUAUACAUUAUAUAUUACAUGUAAUGUUUGUAGUGGGAAUCUUUUUUCAACAAGAACUUUUGUUACUACAUGUAUAUUAUGCUCCAGUUAAUGAGGAACACAUCUUCUUGUAUACAUAUUACGAUUAAGUACUGUGGGAAUUAAAGACCUUUCCACCCCUAAUUGUUUACUGAAUAAACAUAGAUAGGGCCAAUAACGGGUCAUGGUCAGCUAUAUAGUGUUACUUGAAGAUAUUUAAAGUAUGUACAAAUCAUCUAUGAUAGUAUUGAAGGGGUUUACAGAAGAGAAAAUAGGACUUAACUUCUGAAAACGGGCCACACAUAUUAGAAACAAAAACAAAAAUAAAGGAAAAAUGAGCAUUGGGGAGAGGGGGGUAAAAAUUGAGAAAAAUUACGUAAAAAUGCAAAGAUAUUCAAUAUGGAAAUAAUGUUUCUCACCAAGACCCUCGUAUAUGUAAAUUCUUAUGUUUCCACAAAUGUAUUACAAGUAUGAUAACCAUUUUUCCAAAUUGGACAAAUUUUAAAAAGAACACCACUUUGACGGUACGUAUGGUUUAAAAAAACAUUUUUUUAACUUCUGAAAAUGGGCCAAAACAUAUAACAAACAGGCAAAGGCAAAACAAAAACAAAAACAAAAAUACGAGAAAAAUUGGUAUUUUACACAUAAAGAAUCGAGAAUAGUGGGUAGGGGCGUGGGGGUUAUAAUCGAGGAAAAAUACCCUAAAAAAGAUAACAAAUAUUCAAUAUGGAAAAUUAGUUCCUUAUCCAGCCCCUCAUAAAAGUACAUACAAAUGUAUUACAAGCACAUUACAAGUAUGAUAUCAAUUUUUUUUCUUUCAAAUUUGACAAAUGUCGUCUGCUGUGGUUAAAAAGAACACCACUUUGCCGGUAUGUAACAUUCACGGUUUAUAAAACAUAUUUUUUAAUGCAAAAACAAGGUGUUUUAAAUUAAACAACGUGUAUUGAUGAUUUUGUCCCGAGGUACAAUAUACUAACCUUUAACACAUGGUGAUGAUAUGACUGAUUAUACUGUAAGAGGCUCAGAAUGGGGGUCAAUCAUUCUAUUUUUUGUUAGUUUUAUGUCGGGUUUUUUUCUAUUCUUUAUCCUUUUUGUCCAUUAUUUCUACAUUUAUAUUUUAGCAUCCCAUUAUUAAUUUUUUUUCAUUUUUGCCAAUUUUUCUCUUUUCUUUUAUUUUUCUUAAACUUUUAUACUGUACCUGUUGCCCAUUAUUAUAUAAUCUAUAAACCAUAUACAGACCCUCAUUUAUGCAAAACGAGACGUGAUGACUUUGUAAAUUGUAUUGUUUUACCUAUCGGAAAGGUGAGUAGGUUUAUGAUUGAAUAAUGAAUUCAAUUAUUGAUUUAAUUUCGAUUUUAUUAUUCUUAAAGUUUUAAAUAAUUCAAAAAAAUGUCUGUCAUGUAAAUAAGAAUCGCAUUCGAAUUGAUAUUCCUUUCAAUAUUUUUAUAGUAUCCGCCCCUUCAGCCUUAAACAGCCCUCCCCGAAUCCAGCGUCAACAACCCCCAAAUCAAAUCUAAAUCACAAUCUCAGAGUGAGUUUGAACGGUAUUCUAUAUGCACCGAUAUAAACACUACAAGUUUUCUUGACGAAAAUAAUAUGUAUACAUACAUUUUGUACAUAGUCUAUGUUCAAAUCAUUUUCCUAUUACCGGCGCUAAUGCAUUCUAUGAAAUAUUUUCAAACGUGUACAUCAAAUGUUGUGAUUGGCUACAAUGUAAGAAUGUUACAACGUGAUACAUUGUAAGGGUGGUUCUAACCGUUAAAUAUUCAGUAUGUAACAUAACAGCCAGGAACCAGUCUACAGCUUGAUAAACAAUGGUAAAAUGCAACCAAUGACGUGAUAUUAUGUUUGAAAGCCACAGGUGUUCCGGAAGGCCAACACUUUCCAUCUUCAUGUGUGGACCCGUCGUAAUGCUAUUUGCAAUUACAAAACCAGUGACAACUAUUUUGAUAGUUUUAUUGUGUGUUCACCAGCUCUUUUAUCUAAUUAACAGAAUCUGUCAUAGUCUGUUAAAAGAGGUCUUAUUUAUUGUUUGUAUAACCUUUUUAACUAGAUUGCAUAGUUUGCUUAACGAGAUCUCAUUUUUUGUAUAUUAUAAUUAUACAACAUGAUCUAAUGAUCCCCAUAAUCCAUACAGGGUUUCGUUCAAGUCAUACUUUCCUUUCCUCUUAACUAGAAUGACACAAAUCGAUCAGCAUCACCACUGUGUAACAUCACCAGCGGAUAUAGGUACCCCGAAGCAAAGAAACAAUAUGACAGCAAAAAGUAACUGUUAAUUAUUUCACUAAAUAAAUCAAAAUUUGGUGACUAUGUUGAACGCAUCUAUCCCAUCGAACUAGUCGAUAAAGGAAACAACAGAUACAGUUAAGUCAGUUUCAUCUUGACUUACAUUUAGAAAUUGACAUUGAGGGUCGGUUGAAAACAAAACUUUACGACAAAGGAGAUGAUAUAUGAACUUUCCAUUUCUAAUUAGCAAAAUUCCAGCAGCACCUGCAUACGGUGUUUAUAUAUCUCCCAAUUGAUAAGAUAUUCCCGUGCUUGCAUUUCCUAUUAUGACUUUCUUGAUAGAGGGAUGCUGCUUACAAGGAAGCUAUUAAACCAAGAGUUCCAAAUGGUGAAGUUGAAAUCAUCACUUCGUAAAUUUUACGGACGCCAUUACGAGUUGGUUGACUGUUAUGGAAUAACCGUUUCAUCAAUGAUAUCGGAUAUUUUCUUUACGUAGUAACUACAAUGCCCUUCCCUUUCAUGAAUGUGACCUACCGAAUUAGACUAUUUACCGGAUUUGUAAUCACAUAAGCAAUACGACGCGUGCCACAUGUGAAGCAGGAUCUGCUUACCCUUCCGGAGCACCUGAGAUCACCCCUAGUUUGUGGUGGGGUUCGUGUUGUUUAUUCUUUAGUGUUCUAUGUUGUGUCAUGUGUUCUAUUGAUUGUCUGUUUGUCAUUUUCAUUUUUAGCCAUGCUGUUGUCAGUUUAUUUUCGAUUAAUGAGUUUGACUGUCCCUCUGGUAUCUUUCGUCCCUCUUUUCUAAUCCACGUACAGUAAACACCUACAGCCAUGAAUUUUAUCCGAUUUCUUUACAUGAAUUUAUCUGUGUAAACGAUAGCUUAUUUCGAAAUACAGCGUUGUUCAUCCUUAAAUAUAAAGUCUCACCACUUGUUACGUAUAAAAUAUACAGCUUUUUAAAACACAAGUUAACAACAAGAGCCACUCUAUAAAGAGUUAUGAGAGACUAUAAAACAAUUGUUAUUAAAUUAUAAUACAAAUACAAGUCAACUAUCAGGAAUAUAAAAUACAUUUUCGCUUUAUUAAAAUUUCAUAGCAGAUUUGGCAGUAUAAAAUACCAUAUUUUCAUUUGUAAAAAGAAAUAUAAUUUUUUUCAUUAUCAGACAUAUGUAAAAAAUUCUCAUCAACAAUACUAGCAUGGUUAAAAAUAACAUUACGAAUACCUGAUUAUACAGGACAGUAUGACAAAACAUGUUUUUCAUCUUCAACGUCAUCAGUACAGUUAAAACAUAAUCAGUCCUACUACAUCAUUAGGAAUCACUAUCACAACUUUAACUUGUCCACAAAACGCAGCAUAUAAUGAAAAUUCGAAGAAUUAGUCUAGUCUUUACUCGACUUCACCUUUUGUUUUUUUGGGGGGGGGGGUGAGUCACCGCUAAGGGGGUACUUAUACCCGACGAUGAUGCCACGCAGUGACCAAUUUUUCGGAUUUUUCUGUGAAGCAGGACCUAUUUAUCGCCAAUAAGUAGACACAUGAUCAACAUGCUGUUUCUGCAAAAUAUAGACCUACAUGGUUCCAUAGAACAUUCAUUAGUUCUGAACGAUGUAUCGAAUGAUUGAUUAAUUUGUGCUUAAAAUGGCGGAGGAAGUCGGAUUAUUCGGAUAGAACCCCCCCACCUUCGGUAGGAACACUGACAAUCCUAGUCAAUUAAUAUUAGAGUGGAGCGGGAUGCAAACCAUCAACCUAAGUGUUAGAAUGCCAAUACUAAUAUUUACACCACUCGGCCACCGAACCCCCUGGACAAUAGAAACUCGGGGUAUAGAAGAAUGCCGUAUCUAUGUUCCGUACAAAGUGGAUUUACUUUCAACGGCGUUUACAUACCACUUGUUAUUUCGUAUAUCAAUAGUUACUGUUGAAUGCAUCUCGAACACAAAACAAACACUAUACAAAAACUAUAUGACUAUUUUUGGGUGGAAAUGAAGUUUAUCUACUUGUAUUUGAUUAAAAUUGAGAAUGGAAAUGGGGAAUGUGUCAAAGAGACAUCAACCCGACCAUAGAACAGACAACAGCAGAAAGUCACCGACAGGUUUUAAUGCAGCGAGAAAUUCUCGCACCCGGAGGUGUCCUUCAGCUGGCCCCUAAACAAAUAUAUAUACUAGUUCAAUGAUAAUGGAAGCCAUACUAAACUCCAAAGUGUACACAAGAAACUAAAAUUAAAACUAACGAAGGCCCGAGGCUCCUGACUCGGAACAGGCGCAAAAAUGCGGCGGGGUUAAACAUGUUUAUUAGAUCUUAACCCUUCCCCUAUACCUCUAGCCGAUGUAGAAAAGUAAACGCAUAACAAUACGCAUAUUAAAAUUCAGAUUAAAAAUAUUUAAUCAUUUCGUAAUAAUUUAAAAAAAAUACAGUUUCAAUUUGUUAAUUUUUUAUCCAAGUAUAAUUUUUCUAUCCCAAAAUCGAUCCAAUCACUUUGUACAUUAUAUAUAUACUUAUUAUAAUUAAUAUAAGCGCAGUCUGUAUAAAUGGUUAUUCGAAAUAAAUUUAACAAAGAAAUUGGAUAGAUCAUAGAUACCACUUCGUCUAUCAAAAAACACGUUAUCAAUAGGGUUAUAAAUUACAGUAAUUGAUUUUUAGACAUUAAAGCACUUUUUUGUUUAAUAAUUGUUUUAAAGAUAAAAUUUAUCAUAUUCUCUCCCUUACGGUGAUAUAAUUAGAUAUCGAACUCAUUGAGUUUUACCGAUUUCAGACAGACGGCAGCUUGCAUGCUUUUGUAAAAGGCAUGGAUAAAGUUUCAUCUUACCAAAAGCUUGAUUUUUUAAUGUGUAUAUUAUGUUGAUAUAUUAUCUAAAUAAUAAUUAUUGGAAAACAGUUAAAAAACAUAGUCUAUGUUAAAGACCAGUGUAAAUAUCAUAUGAAAAUUUUUGCGUGAAAUUAUCCAUUCGCUAACUUAACAGCGAAUAAAUCCAAUAAAGAAUAUUUGAAAAAAAAUACGUAGUGUUUAAAAGUACCGUUGAAACAAAAACAAAAGUAGUUGUGGUUAUCAAUAAGUCAACUAUCCACACGAGUCCCAAUGAGGUGGAUAAGGGAAAACUAUAAAACGUACGGCAUAUAUUACCUCAACAUAGAGGGUUGAAAUAAGUGCAUAUUAUUGUUGAUCAUACCUCUGCAAUUACAAGACCACCAUAUAUGGUGUCUUUAUAUCUAUCUGAUUUGAUUGACAUUUUUAGAUGCACAUGUAAAUAUUUCAGAAAAAAUAAUGUAAAUACAGUCGGGUUGAAAACUUCCUGAACGGUUGUCUAGAUAGUCUUGUGAAGGUGAGUCACAACAUUGUAACAUUUGGGACUACCUUUGCGGGGGUGGGGGUAAACGGAAGUGCUUUCCAGACGUAUAGGCAUAAAUGUGAACGAUAUUCAAUUUAUAACAGAAAACAUAUGAAAAAUACAUAAAAUAUCAACCAAUUGAAUUCCAACAUACAUGUACUUAUAAAAGCUGUAACUGAAAGGAAUCCGAACAUACCACACCACGUCAGAUUAAUUAAUUACAAUUCUUCAGUUAAGUUGUUUUCUCAAUUCUGGUUUCAUUUCCUGAAGUCGCAUUGUAAGUCAAGUAAUUAAAUUUCGCAUUUUUAUUCUUUUUAUCAAUAACUAUAAUUUUAAAUACUGUUAACAGAUUUUUUCAUUUUUGCAGGUAUUUUUUUAGUGUACAAAAAAAAACCGCAGACCCUUCCACCUUAAAAUAUUAUAAUAUCAUUAGGAUGAUUAUACAAACUAAAGAAAAUCAAAAUUGCACCUCCCCGUAAAAAUAUAAAAUUGUGCUAAAUACAAAAACUAAACAAAAUAGAAAAAGAGCAACGAAGGUUUAAAUCACUCAAAUAUCAAUAAAAAUAAAUCAGAAACACCGUACUUUAUUUGAAAAACUGCAUGAUUGAGGGCAACUCGAAUGAUUCAGCGCCCUCUAUCGGUCAGUGUCCUCUCGAGCGAUCGAUAGUGAGUCGGAAUAUAACGACUGGAUUAUUCGGGUUAGAUUGAGGGUUCUUUUAUCUGUAAUGUUUUAUAUUAAAUCAUAUAUCAUACUUAAUCAAUAUACAAUGCAUUGUUUAUGCUGUUGUAAAAGUUUUAUGCAAAUAUAAGAGGGCGGUUUAGCCCAUUUUAUAUUGGUUGUUCGUUAUUGAUAUCUUUUAUAAUAUACAUUGCAGCACCCCGUUAUUCUCAAUUCUUUAUUAUAACAUGACGUCCUUCAAAUGCGUUGAGUACACGACGGUUGUAAAAUAUGAAUAUUAUUGCCAGGGCUGUUCCGAUCGUACUCCCACGUCAUAUGUUUUUUUCUGAAUGAUCUCGACGUCUUAGAACGAUCCAUUAUUCUCAUUUUUAUGCCCCACCUACGAUAGUAGAAGGGCAUUAUGUUUUCUGGUCUGUGCGUCCGUUCGUCUGUCUGUCUGUCCGUUCGUUCGUCCGUCCGUUCGUUCGUCCGUCUAUCCCGCUUCAGGUUAAAGUUUUUGGUCAAGGUAGUUUUUGGUGAAGUUGAAGUCCAAUCAACUUGAAACUUAGUAUACAUGUGCCCUAUGAUAUCAUCUUUCUAAUUUUAAUGCCAAAUUAGAGAAUUUAUUCCAAUUUCACGGUCCACUAAACAUAGAAAAUGAUAGUGCGAGUGUGGCAUCCGUGUACUGUGGACACAUACUUGUUUAUUAUAUUUUAAGGACAAUUAUUCUGCAUGUGCAUUUUGUCCAUUAUUCUCAUUUCUCUGAAGACACUAUCCAUUGAUAUCCUUGUAAGCUUUGCAAUCUCUUAUUAUAAAACUUUACACAUACAUGUUAAACAAAAGAUCAAUUUCAUGAUGAACUUAAAAUAAUCUUUUGCACAAAUUUAUAUAUAAAUUGAUUUAGAUAAAUGACUGCAAAUUGUUACCCCACGCAAGUGCGGAUCUAGCCAUUUUUCAAAGAAAGUGGGAUUUUAACCCAAGAUAAAAAUGGGGUCCAACCAUAUGUCUCAAUUCAAAGGCAUUGAUCGUUAAAAAAAGGGGGGGGGUCCAAAUCCCGGAUCACGCUUGCGAUACGCCACUGCACACAUAUACCUCUUUUUCAACGAGUAUUCCAUGUAUAUUUCCUUAAACAAGGGACGAAAGAUACCAGUGGAACAGUCAAACUCAUAAAUUGUAAAUAAACUGACAACGACAUGCCCUAAAAAAAAACAGACAAACAAUAGUAAAGAAGACACAGCAUAGAAAACUAAAGACUAAGCAACACGAACCCCACCAAAAACUGGGGGUGAUAUCAGGUGCUCCGGAAGGGUACACAGAUCCUGCUCCACAUGGGGUACCCGUCGUGUUGCUUAUGUUAUUACAAAUCCGGUAAAUAGUAUAAUUCUGUAGAUCCCAUUCGUGAAAGGGAAAGGGUAUUGUAGUUACGACAUAAGUAACAUAUCCGACAUUAUCUGUGAAAUGCACAAUUUCGAAAGUAUAUAUAUAUAAGGAAUGACUGUAAUAUUUUUUCUGUCUAUGAAGAAAUAACAUAAAAAAUGUGGUGCAUACUGAAUAACGCGCGUAGCGGGUUAUUUAACAGUGUGCACCACAUUUUUUAUGUUAUUUCGAAUAGACAGAAAAAAUAUUACAGUAAUUUCUUAUAAUUUAAUUCAAAAAUUCCAUUUUAAACCGUAGAAAACCUUAAUAAAACGUUAAUGACGUCACGGUCACAUGACUAAAUUAUGUCUAUGGGUUCAUAAUAACAAAAUAACGUCAGCCAAUCAAAAGACGCGUUACAUCCAAAAUUAAAUUAAAUUAAUACUUAAUAUCAAACUAAUCCGAAUAAUUCAGUCCUUCCCCAUUAUCGAUCUCACCUACUUAUAAGGUUAAUGAAGUAAUCGUAGAUCAGUGGAAUAUAACGACUGAAUCAUUCGGGUGAAUACCAAACAUGCACAGGACAGCCGUGGUGUAGUGGUUAGUGCAUCAGACUACUAACACAAAGGUUCCUGGUUCGAUUACCCUUCUAGGAUGAAAAUUUUAGGGACUGAAUAUUCGGCUCUCCCUUGACACCAUUUCCGAGUAUGGUCUUGAGGAAACCGUCGGAAGGGGACGAUAAAUGGCUGACCUGUGUUAAGAGAGAGCCAUAUCUCUUGCACGUAAAAGACACCCUUGUAGAUUUCGAAAAAGAGUAGGUUAAUGCCGCUACAAGGCAGCACUCGCACCCGCCAAGUGGAAAGGGAUUAAUAUAAGUUUGUUUCCUAAUCCACUAUUAAUAAAUAAGUUUAAACUAAUAUCCAACCUUAUGUUCAGUAAUAAAAAUCAUUUCCACACAAUAAGACCUUGCAUUUAAUUUAUAUCCUAUCUUGUAGAGUAGACAUGUAUGUAAAUGUUUACUUAAUUUUCACAGUCUAGAAAAAAACCCUUAUAAAACCUACAUCUCUUUUGUUCAUAUUAAGGGGAAGGAUCUCAGACGAUUUGACCUCGAAUUAUACCAAGUCUUUAAUUUUCAGACAUGUUAUCUUACUUUUGAUAGUCUCGAGAAAUCUAUAAAUCUACUUUUUUUUUGUUAAUAUCAAAAGAAAUCUUAAAAUAUACGGGUUGAACUUGGUUCACAUUUUAUUUUUUCAGAUAUGAACGUAUAUAUUCAUUUUUAGGUUAUAUAUGAAUGUUAAAAGAUAACCUAUACCCUUAUAUCUUAAUGUUAUACAAACAAUCUUUUUUCUCAUACUACUGGUCCUUGAUUUAUACUUUACUCAGGUAGGUUUUUACAGAUCACCUCUAGUUUUUGGUGGGCUUAAGGAGGUAGACCUAGGUUAAGGGAGAUAACUCAUAAAAUCAUCAGUAUGUUUGUGUCAACCACUUUCAUAAAUAUAUUCUAAGCUUCUAGGUAACAUAGAUUAUUUCCACUCUGUUUCAGGUAAAUGCUUAAAAAACAUUGAUGAAACUUGACUUUUACAAACGCAUUACUGAUUUAUUGAGUUAUCUCCCUGAACCAAGGUCUACCCCCUUAAGCCUUUAUCUUGCUCAGUUUUCGUUUUUUGUCUUUUUCCUUUCAGCCAUAACGUUGUCAGUUUAUUUUGAACUUUAAGUUUGAAUGCCCCUCUUGUUUGUUUCGCCUCUCUUUUAUACAGAAAAGGUUUAGAGAUAAAUAAAUACCAAACACCUCUUUUGUUUAUAAAAGAAGAAAAAUAUGCAGUAGAUUUAAUCUUGAAAUAUACUAAUUCUUAAUUGUUGAGACAUAUGCAAAAGAUAAAAACUAAGGUAAAGUUGAUCUUGAAUGAACUUGGCUAUUUUUGUUAACGGUCUUUUUGGUCAUGUAUCUUCAAUUGUUUCGAUUUUUACACAUCUUUAACUAAAUAAUCGGCUUUUAGGGUUUUUAAUGAAAGUAAAGCCAGAAAAGCGCUUCGGGUGCAUGUAAUUUAUAAUUAGACUAUUUACCGGAUUUUUAUCACAUAAGCAACACGACGGGUGCCACAUGUGGAGCAGGAUCUGCUUACCCUUCCGGAGCACCUGCGAUCACCCCUAGUUUUUGGUGGGGUUCGUGGUUGUUUAUUCUUUAGUUUGUAUGUUGUGUCAUGUGUACUAUUGUUUUUCUGUUUGUCUUUUUCAUUUUUAGCCAUGGCUUGUCAGUUUGUUUUAGAUUUAUGAGUUUGACUGUCCCUUUGGUAUCUUUCGUCCCUCUUUUAUAACGUGUUCUAUUCAAUUUUGUCAUCAUAGAUUCGACAGGAAAGUCCGUAGAAACCGUAUAACCAAUUUAUUUUUCUUACCAAAAGAAAUCUUAAGAUAUACGAUGUUACCUUUAUUUUUGAGAUAUGUAUGUACAUAUCCAUUUAUGAAUACUUAAUGAAACCAUGUCCUUUAGAUAAUAAUAUUAUCAGGGCAACUUAACGUUAGAUGUGUAUCAGUAAGGUCAUUUUUAACAGCUUUAGUGCGAUACAUCUAUUAUCAAGUGUUUUAAUAAGUAAAUAUUCAUUUGUAGGUUACACAUGAUGAUUAAGAGAUAAAUUUAUACUACAUGAUUAUGUACAUGUAUAACAACAAGAUUGUCAAUGAGACAAGUUUCCGAAAAGUUCAAAUGCAGUCGAUAUAAGCAAUUACAGUGAAACCUGAUUAAACCGAACCCUGAAUAAACCGGAAACCUGUCUAAUCCAAACUUGUUCUGAAGACCAAUCAUAUCACAUUUUAUGCAUUGUGAACCUGAUGAAACCGAAUACCUGCCAAAACCGAACGAAAUCUCAAGUCCCGAAAGGGUUCGGUUUAGUCAGAUUUCACUGUAUAGGCAACCGUAUGGCCUUCAACAAUGACAAAUCCAUACUGUAUAGUCGGCUUUAAAAGGCUCUACAUGAAAAAUGUGAAACAAUCAAGUCAAAUUUGAAAACUGACGGCGUAAUUUUGAAGAAAAAAAAACAAUGUACGAAAAACAAAUAUGACAGGCAUAAACAAACGACAACAACUGAAUUACAGGAUCCUGACUUGGGACAGUCACAUACAUACAGAAUAUGAAGAGGUUUUUGAAUAUCUAUCUAUAUGAAACCCUGUCCCCAUAGAAGUAAAUAUGACCAGGGUACAUUACCGUUAAAGUUGUAUCAGUGAGGUCAUUGUUAACAGCUUUAGUGCGAUACAUCUAUUAUCAAGCGUUUUAAUCAGUAAACAUUCAUUUAUAGGUUAUACUUGAGAUAUACAUGUAUAUAUAAGAAUAAGAUGUGGUAUCAUUGUCAUUGAGACAUCCUUCCGUCAACUUUCAAUUGAAGUGGAUAUAAGCAAUUAUAGGCCACUUUUUGAACUUUGACAAUGAAAAAAACCCAUACAGUAUAGUCGGCUAUAAAAACGGCUAUGUGAACAAGCGACAACAACUGAAUUUCAGACACAUGUAUACAGAUUAUGGCGAGGGGUUUAUGAAUACUCAUCUAUAUGAAACCCUAUUCUUUUAGAUAUUAAUAUUACCAGGAUACCCUAUCGAUAAAACUGUAUCAGUAAGGUCAUUGUUAACAGCUUUAAUGCAAUAUCUAUAUUCAAGUUUUAAUAUUAAGUAAAUAUCUAUUUAGAUUAAGAGAUAUAUAAAAAAAAAAAGAUGUUUGAAAAACUGCAUGAUUGAGGGUUGUUUUAUCUACCGUGUUUUAUAUUAAAUCAUAUAUCAUAAUCAAGGCAUAAACAAUGCAUCAAUAAACAAUGCAUUGUUUACGCCGUUGCAAAUCUUUUAACCAAAUAUAAUAGGGUGUUUUAAGCCCAUUUUAUAUUUGUUUGUACAUUAUUUAUAGCCUUUAUAACACCUUCCUAUUUUGUAUGAGGGUUUAGCUGGGGUUUACAGAAUAUAAAGUAUAAUGGGCAAACGAUUAAAGAAAAGAAAACAAUGGAAUGCAAAAGAAUAAAGUGUAACUAUUGAAAAUAAAAGACUUAGGUAAUAUAAAAAAUAUAAUAUUUAAAUGUUUUUAAUGCGAUAUUUUACGAAACAAGCGUUAUUCUUAAGAUCUAGACAAAUGCUCCGAAAAAUUAAAGAAUUCAGAUAUAAAAUACACCUAUCCAGUGCCUUUUAUAUUUUUACCUUUAUAGAUUUCCUUAGUCUUCAAUUGAUUUGUUGUUUCCCUAUUGACCUUUACCCGUUUUGGUUAUAUUUUUAAAAAAAAAUCAGCAUAAGAUUAAACCUUGAAUCGUCUUUUCUGAUAUUUAUGUAACCAUCCACUUAUAGUUUACACAGGGAGGCUUUGAAAAAACAUUUAACCCCACAUCUCUUUCCGUUUAGUCUUAUUGUUCUGAUGCAUCGUAAACCAAUCGUCUGUCCCGUUUAUAUAUCUUUUUGUGCUGAUGCGUUGCAAACCAAUCGUCUAUCUGUUCAUAUAUCUAUUUGUGCUGAUGCAGCGUAAACCAAUCGUCUGUCCGUUUAUAUAUCUUUUUGUGCUGAUGCAGCGCAAACCAAUCGUCUUUACGUUUAUAUAUCUUUUUGGAGCUGAUGCGGCGUAAACCAAUCGUCUGUCUGUUUAUAUAUCUGUUGUUUCCCUUUUGACCUGUACCCUUUUUGGUUAUAUAUUUUUUUUUAAAUCAGCAUAAGAUUAAACCUUGAAUCGUCUUUUCUGAUAUUUAUGUAAUCAUCCAUUUAUAGUUUACACAGGGAGGCUUUGAAAAAACAUUUAACCCCACAUCUCUUUCCGUUUAGUCUUAUUAUUCUGAUGCAGCGUAAACCAAUCGUCUGUCCGUUUAUAUAUCUUUUUGUGCUGAUGCAGUGCAAACCAAUCGUCUUUACGUUUAUAUAUCUUCUUUGAGCUGAUGCGGCGUAAACCAAUCGUCUGUCUGUUUAUAUAUCUGUUGUUUCCCUUUUGACCUUUACCCUUUUUGGUUAUAUUUUAAAAAAAAUCAGCAUAAGAUUAAACCUUGAAUCGUCUUUUCUGAUAUUUAUGUAAUCAUCCAUUUAUAGUUUACACAGGAAGACUUUGAAACAACAUUUAACCCCACAUCUAUUUCCGUUUAGUCUUAUUGUUCUGAUACAUCGUUAACCAAUCGUCUGUCCCGUUUAUAUAUCUUUUUGUGCUGAUGCGUCACAAACCAAUCGUCUAUCUGUUUAUAUAUCUGUUUGUGCUGAUGCAGCGUAAACCAAUCGUCUGUCCGUUUAUAUAUCUUUUUUGAGCUGAUGCGGCGUACACCAAUCGUCUGUCUGUUUAUAUAUCUUUUUGUGCUGAUGCGUCGUAAACUAAUCGUCUGAUCGUAUAUAUAUAUAUAUAUUUUUAAUCGGUCCUUGAUUUGUCCAUUAUUUUUCAGAAAUGUUUGUAACUACUAAUUGAUAGGUUAUACAGGAAUUCGAGUUUGAAAAUAACUGAAUAUCUAACUAACCCGAAUAAUUCAGUCCUUCCUCGUAAUCGAUCUCUCCUACGUAGUUAAUGACGUAAUCGUAGAUCAGCGGAAUAUAACGAUUGAAUUAUUCGGGUUAAUACCUAACAUAUCUUUUGUUCAGUAAUAAAAAUCAUUUCCACACAAUAGGACCUUACAUUUAAUUUAUAUCCUAUCUUCCGGAGUAGACAUGUAUGUAAAAUUGAGAAUGGAAAUGGGGAAUGUGUCAAAGAGACAACAACCCGACCAAAUAAAAAACAACAGCAGAAGGUCACCAACAGGUCUUCAAUGUAGCGAGAAAUUCCCGCACCCGGAGGCGUCCUUCAGCUGGCCCCUAAACAAAUAUAUACUAGUUCAGUGAUAAUGAACGCCAUACUAAUUUCCAAAUUGUACACAAGAAACUCAAAUUAAAAUAAUACAAGACUAACAAAGGCCAGAGGCUCCUGACUUGGGACAGGCGCAAAAAUGCGGCGGGGUUAAACAUGUUUGUGAGAUCUCAACCCUCCCCCUAUACCUCUAACCAAUGUAGAAAAGUAAAUGCAUAACAAUACGUACAUUAAAAUUCAGUUCAAGAGAAGUCCGAGUCUGAUGUCAGAAGAUGUAACCAAAGAAAAUAAACAAAAUGACAAUAAUACAUAAAUAACAACAGACUACUAGCAGUUAACUGACAUGCCAGAUCCAGACUUCAAUUAAACUGACUGAAAGAUUAUGAUUUCAUCAUAUGUACAUCAGGCACAAUCCUUCCCGUUAAGGGUUUAGUAUCAUACCAUCAUAACAUAUAUGAGAAGAACAUAACCCGUGUCAUGCCAACAACUGUUUUUAAAAUAAAUGUGUUUAGUUCCGACGCAAAGACCUUAUCAGUGACUCAAUAUUAACGCCAAAAUAUGUAAAUGUUUACUUAGUUUUGACAGUCUAGAAAAACAUUAUAAAACCAACAUCUCUUUUGUUCACAUAUAUACGGAAAUGAUUGCAGACGAUUUGACCUCGAAUCAUACCAAGUCUAUAUUUUUCAGACAUGUGUGAAUGUUAUCUUAGUUUUGUUAGUCUUGAAAAACCUUUAAAUGCACUUUCUUUGUUGUUCAUAUCAAAAGAAAUCUUAAAAUAUACGGUUCGAACUUGGUUCACACUUUAAUUUUCAGAUAUGAAUGUAUAUUCAUUUAUAGGUAAUGCACGAAGGUUAAAAGAUAAUAUUUUACCCUAUAUAUCUUAAUGUUAUACAAACAAUCUUUUUUCUCAUACGACUGGCUCUUGAUUUAUAUUUUUUCAGGAAGGUUUUUACAGAUCACCUCUAGUUUUUGGUGGGCUUUAUCUUGCUCAGUUUUAGUUUUUUGUGUUCUUUUUGUACUUGUUUGUUUGUGUGUCUAAUGUCUUUUUCUUUUUCAGUCAUGGCGCUGCCAGUUAUUCUCGACUUAUAUUAAUUCUAAGCCGUAUUUGGCACCACUUUUUGAAAUUUUGGAUCCUCAAUGCUCUUCAACUUUGUACUUGUUUGGCUUUGAAAAUAUUUUGAUAUGAGCGUCCCUGAUGAGUCUUAUGUAGACGAAACGCGCGUCUGACGUACACAAUUAUAAUCCUGGUACCUUUGAUAACUAUCAUAAGUUUGAAUGCCCCUCUUGUAUGUUUCGCCUGUCUUUUAACAGUAAAAUUUAGAGAUAGAUUAAUGCCCAACACCUCUUUUGUUUAUAAACGAAGAAGAAAAUACAGAAGAUUUAAUCUUGAAAUAUUCAUUCUUAUUUUUAAGACAUUUAUGUAUAAAUUUUAUAAUGAAAUUAUAAAGAAAUUGAGGUUUCAACUCCCUCAGGUAAAUUUGACCUGGGGUGAAUUUGUUAAUUUCAUUUUUGUUACUGUAUGUUCUUGUUUGGUCAUAUAACUUUUCAAUUCUUUCGGUUAUUAAUACACACCUUUGGCUUUCAAAUAAUGAGCUUUGAGCGUUCCUGGGGAAGGUAAAUCCCUGCAGAAAAGCUCUUUGGAGAAAUUUAGAAAGUGUUGUUUUUAUUUUUUAUCAUAGUUUUGACAGAUUUAGAGAAACUUUGGCCCACUUCUUUAUUUUCAUAUCCAAAGAAAUCGAAAAGCGCUUCGGACGAAUAAAUUUCGGACGAAUAAAUUUUAUUACAUGUUGUUUUGAUUUUUUUUUAUCUUAGUUUCGACAGGAAGGUCUGGAGAAACCUUAAAACCCACUUCUUUUUUAAAGUCUAAUGAAAUCUUUACGAUUGGACCUUGUUUCAUACUUUAUUUUUAAGAUAUGUAUGUACAUAUUUAUUUAUGAAUACUUAACGACAUAAAAACCUGUCAUUUAGAUGAUAAUAUUAUCAGGGUAUAAUACUUACCGUUAAAUAUGUAUCAGUGAGGUCAAUGUUACUGAACAGCUUUAGUGCAAUAAAUCUAUUAUCAAGUGUUUUAAUAAGUAAAUAUUCAUUUGUAGGUUAUACAUGAAGGUUAAAAGAUCAAUUUAUACCACACAUAUAAAAGUAAGAUGUGGAAUAGGAUUGUCAAUGAGACAACUUUUAUGUUGUGUCAUGUGUACUAUUGUUUUUCUGUUUGUCUUUUUCAUUUUUAGCUAUGGCGUUGUCAGUUUGUUUUAGAUUUAUGAGUUUGACUGUCCCUUUGGUAUCUUUCGUCCCUCUAUUAGCCACUUUCAAAUGAAAUGAAUACAAGAAAUUAUAGGCCACCGUAUGCAAUUCAACAUUGAAAAGCCCAUACUGUAUAGUCGGUUGUGUUAAAGAGGCCGUACAUGAAAAAUGUGAAACAUCAAGUCAAACAAGAAAACUGACGGCGUAAUUUUGAGAGAAAAAAAAAAAACAAUGUACAAAAACAAUAUGACAGACAUGAACAAACGACCACAACUGAAGUUCAGACUCCUAAUAUCGGAUAUGUUCCUUACGUCGUAACUACAAUCCCCUUCCCUUUCAUGAAUGUGACCUACCGAAUUAGACUAUUUACCGGAUUUGUAAUCACAUAAGCAACACGACGGGUGCCACAUGUGGAGCAGGAUCUGCUUACCCUUCCGGAGCACCUGAGAUCACCCCUAGUUUUUUGGGGUUCGUGUUGUUUAUUCUUUAGUUUUCUAUAUUGUGUCAUGUGUACUAUUGUUUGUGUGUUUCUCUUUUCAUUUUUAGCCAUGGCGUUGUCAGUUUGUUUUAGAUUUAUGAGUUUGACUGUCCCUUUGGUAUCUUUCGUCCCUCUUUUAGAAAGACACAUACACAUAGAAUGUGGCGGUGUUUAUGAAUUUUUAUCUAUAUGAAACCCUGUCCUCAUAGAACUUGAAGAAGAAAUUAUUACUAGGGUACCUUAUUGUUAAAGUCAUUGUUAACAGCUUUGGUGCAAUAAAUCUGUAUUCAAGUGUUUUAUAAGUAAAUAUUCAUUUUAGGCUUAACAUGAAGGUUAAGAGUUAUAUAAAUAAAUAUAAGAUGUGGUAUGAUUGUCGAUGAUACAACUUUCCGCCAACUUUCAAUUGAAGUGGAUAUAAGCAAUUAUACGUGUACAUGUUGUAGAUCACUGUAUGACCUUCCAACAAUGAAAAUUAUUUAUAAAAUUGCAUGUGAUAUGACUAACUUUUUUAUUUUGUUUUUCAGAUAGGUGUUUAAAUAUUCAUCAAUAGGUCAGAGAGGAAGAUUAACAGAUAGCAUAUCAACACUAGAGGACUAUCCGGAGACAACGAUGCAAUAUCGGAGAUAAAUAAAUUACGUUACUGGUGUAAACAACACGAAAUCAAUUUCAUUACGUUAUUCUAUUAACAUCUGGAAAAGAUAAGUCCUUUUAGAGAUUAUUUUGGGAAUAUGUGACAGGUGUUUCUAAAUUGAUUGAUAUGUUUUGUAAUAAAAGAAUCGGUUAUCGUUUAAUCGAGUGACACUAAAUUAUACGACUCUUGAUAUGUACUUCCAUUUAUUUAAUCGAAGAAUAAAAUUCGAUGAAGUCACAGAUUGAGAGAAUCAUUUGUCACGUAUUCCGAACGGAGAAAAGUUAAAUUUUCCGAAAGGAGGAAAGUAAAGGUAUUCCGAACGGAGCAAAGUUAACACACUCCGAAAAGAGUGAAAUUUUCAUAUUCCAGACGCAGGAAAGUUAAUUAAAUUACUCCGAAUAGAGGGAAGUUUACAUAUUCCAAAAGGAAGAAACUUAAUAUAUCCCGAAUGGAGGAAACGUAACAUAAUCCAAUUGUAUGAAAAUACAUUUUUAAACAUUUUGAAAAAGGAAUAUGUUAUUGUGUUAUUGCGUUCAAACAUAAGUCAUAUUGUUAUUAUAGGAUAUAGGACUAUUAACGCCGGAAAGAGCACAUUCAAAUUAUGUAUAGAACUUUAACAUGAGGAAGUAUUUUAAACAUUUGAACUGAUACAUUUGUAUAUAUAUAAACGCCAUUUCAUUCACAGGCGUGUUCUUUUUGGCACUUGAAAACUCUAAUGAAGAAUAUGUAACAGUUAUUCGUGUUGAGAAAAAGAUAGUUUUAAAUUCUUAGAAUCGUCUAAAACAAUUAGAUACACUAACGAUUUUUUACAUGGACUCAGUCUUAUAUGAGACAAAGUGAUAACUGUGGUUAAAUGUGCAAUCCAUUUUGGAG
rnacentral:lncRNA from 1 species